GACGAACGCUGGCGGCGUGCCUAACACAUGCAAGUCGAACGGAGAAGUUCAGCAAUGGAUUUCUUAGUGGCGAACGGGUGAGUAACGCGUAGACAACCUGCCUCUAAGCUGGGGACAACAACUCGAAAGGGUUGCUAAUACCGAAUGUGAACAGCGUCUCGCAUGAGAUGCUGUUUGAAGGUGGCCUCUGAACAUGCUACCGCUUAGAGAUGGGUCUGCGUCUGAUUAGCUAGUUGGAGGGGUAACGGCCCACCAAGGCGACGAUCAGUAGCCGGUCUUAGAGGAUGAACGGCCACACUGGGACUAAGACACGGCCCAGACUCCUACGGGAGGCAGCAGUGGGGAAUCUUCCGCAAUGGACGAAAGUCUGACGGAGCAACGCCGCGUGAGUGAAGAAGGCCCUCGGGUCGUAAAGCUCUGUCUUCAGGGACGAAUGUGCAGAUUGUAAAUAAUGGUUUGCAAUGACGGUACCUGAGGAGGAAGCCACGGCUAACUACGUGCCAGCCGCCGCGGUAAUAC
rnacentral:rRNA from 1 species